CGCAGGGCACACGCGAGCCCAGCUGCCUGCAGCAGCGUCACCUUCCCCUCCUUGGGGUCCCAAAUCACAGCCUCCGUGGCCCGGAAGGUUGUUUCUCUAUGAAAUGGACAUGGGAUUCUGAGCAUGGAAAUGAGACAGAAACGUGGCCCUCGCAUCAGCUCAUCGACCGUGGCUGACCUAAAUGCCUCUUUAUCUGGUUAUAUCCAUUGCCUCCUGCAAAUAAUACGGAAAAAUACAGAGAGUAAUAAACUGAACACCCAUGUGGGUACAGGACCUGGACGCAGUGAAGCUGAGCUGACACCAAGCAAAAGGAGCUCAUCGUUUGCACUGUGUUCUAUGCUUGGCUAUCCUAGAGGUCGAU